GGAGUUGUGGCUCAGUGGAAGAGUGCGCACCUAGCAUGUGUGAGGUGCUGGGUUUGAUUCUCAGCACCA
rnacentral:tRNA from 1 species